rnacentral:rRNA from 1 species
AGUGGAACGGUCUGGAAAGUCCGACGGUACAGGGUGAUAGUCCCGUACACGAAAAUGCACUUGCUGUGAACUCGAAGAGUAGGGCGGGACACGUGGUAUCCUGUCUGAAUAUGGGGGGACCAUCCUCCAAGGCUAAAUACUCCUGACUGACCGAUAGUGAACCAGUACCGUGAGGGAAAGGCGAAAAGAACCCCGGCGAGGGGAGUGAAAAAGAACCUGAAACCGUGUACGUACAAGCAGUGGGAGCCUCUUUAUGGGGUGACUGCGUACCUUUUGUAUAAUGGGUCAGCGACUUAUAUUCUGUAGCAAGGUUAACCGUAUAGGGGAGCCGAAGGGAAACCGAGUCUUAACUGGGCGUUAAGUUGCAGGGUAUAGACCCGAAACCCGGUGAUCUAGCCAUGGGCAGGUUGAAGGUUGGGUAACACUAACUGGAGGACCGAACCGACUAAUGUUGAAAAAUUAGCGGAUGACCUGUGGCUGGGGGUGAAAGGCCAAUCAAACCGGGAGAUAGCUGGUUCUCCCCGAAAGCUAUUUAGGUAGCGCCUCGUGAACUCAUCUUCGGGGGUAGAGCACUGUUUCGGCUAGGGGGCCAUCCCGGCUUACCAACCCGAUGCAAACUACGAAUACCGAAGAAUGUUAUCACGGGAGACACACGGCGGGUGCUAACGUCCGUCGUGAAGAGGGAAACAACCCAGACCGCCAGCUAAGGUCCCAAAGUCAUGGUUAAGUGGGAAACGAUGUGGGAAGGCACAGACAGCCAGGAUGUUGGCUUAGAAGCAGCCAUCAUUUAAAGAAAGCGUAAUAGCUCACUGGUCGAGUCGGCCUGCGCGGAAGAUGUAACGGGGCUAAACCAUGCACCGAAGCUGCGGCAGCGACACUAUGUGUUGUUGGGUAGGGGAGCGUUCUGUAAGCCGUUGAAGGUGUGCUGUGAGGCAUGCUGGAGGUAUCAGAAGUGCGAAUGCUGACAUAAGUAACGAUAAAGCGGGUGAAAAGCCCGCUCGCCGGAAGACCAAGGGUUCCUGUCCAACGUUAAUCGGGGCAGGGUGAGUCGACCCCUAAGGCGAGGCCGAAAGGCGUAGUCGAUGGGAAACAGGUUAAUAUUCCUGUACUUGGUGUUACUGCGAAGGGGGGACGGAGAAGGCUAUGUCAGCCGGGCGACGGUUGUCCCGGUUUAAGCAUGUAGGCGGAGGUUCCAGGUAAAUCCGGUACCUUUUAACGCUGAGGUGUGAUGACGAGGCACUACGGUGCUGAAGUGAUAAAUGCCCUGCUUCCAGGAAAAGCCUCUAAGCAUCAGGUAACACGAAAUCGUACCCCAAACCGACACAGGUGGUCAGGUAGAGAAUACCAAGGCGCUUGAGAGAACUCGGGUGAAGGAACUAGGCAAAAUGGUGCCGUAACU